AACAAAGCCCAGGCAUCGCUUCCUUCUGAUUCAUCGGUUCCGGCGAAACUGUUAGGCCCGCGUCUCCCGCUGCACGAUCCCGCGUCCGGUGGAGAAGCAGCGCCCUUCCCGGGGCUCCGCCUGGAGCCCGCUCGGCCCGCGCCGCUCCCGCCCGCCCGUCCGUCUCUGCGGGGCGGUCCUGAGCCGGUCCCCCGGGUCUGCGGGUCUGCGGCUCUCCCGCGGCUCUCCCGCGGCUCUCCCGCGGCUCUCCUCCGGGCCCCGGCCCCCGCUCCGGCGUGCCCGCAGCCAGCGCCGGCCCCCCGGCCCCCCGCCCGGCCCUCGCCCCUACCGUUUCCUCUCCGCCCGCCGCCCUUUUCCAGUCCAGUGCGUCACUCCCGGGCAGCCUCCACCACUUUUUUCUUUCUAGAUCGCGUCCACCAGGCAGCGGCGGCGGCGGCGGAGGAGCUCGGCGGGCCCGGCCCGGGGCUGGGGGACGCGGCCGCGGGCAGGCGGGCGCGGAGGGGCGGGGCGGGGCGGGCGGCGGGGAGGGGAGCGGAGGGGAGGGGAGGGGAGGGGGGCCGCGGCUGCAGCUGGGGGGCCCGGGCGGGCCGGGACGGGGCGGGGCGAGGCGAGCCCAGCGUGGGCCCCCGAGGGGCGGGGGGGCAGCGGCCGCGCGCAGCCGGGCCCGGGGGUCGCAGCCCGAGCCGCGGCGGGGACCCGGGGCGCCUGCUCACGCGGCUGGCGGCUGGCGGGCGGGUCACCCACGGCGCCCGCAGCGCCCUUCCUCGGCCCGGCCGGAGGGGGAGGCUCUCCCGCGGCGGCUCGGCGGGGCGCGGGGGCCACGCGCGGGCCGCGGAGCUCCCCCUGGCAGGCGGGGCGCGCACCGCCCCCUCCCCCUCCCCCCCCCCCCCCCCCCCGCGGCCGGCGGACCGGGACGCGGACGGGGACCCCUGCGGGCAGGGCGGGAGGCGCGCGGACCCACAGGUGGGGACCAACCCCGCCCUCUCGGCGCUCCCGCCGGCCGCGGCUCGCCCGCACGUCCCCGCUGGCUCCCGGGGCUGCGGCGGAGGAAGGGGCCGGAGCGCCGGGGGAGCGGCCGUCGGGGCCCGAGGACAGCCGGCGCCGUGGCCACCUUGCAAGGACUGCGCAAGGCCGGUGCGCGGAGAGGCGGCGAGCGGCGAGCGGCGAGCGCGGGGCCCGGGGCCCGGGGCCCGGGGGGCGGGGGGCGGGCAGGAGGCGGCAGCCCGCGGGCCCCCGGGGACGCCCCCGGAGCGCCCCAGGGUCCCCGUCCCCAUCCCCAUCCCCCACACCCCUCCCCCCAGCCGCCCUUCCUGCACCUCCCCUCCAGUCACCCGCAAUCAAUACCACCGUGAGAUUCCUCUUUCUUCUUUCUUUCUUUCUUUCUUUCUUUCUUUCUUUCUUUCUUUCUUUCUUUCUUUCUUUCUUUCUUUCUUUCUUUCUUUCUUUCUUUCUUUUCUUUCUUUCUUUCUUUCUUUCUUUUUCUUUUCUUUCUUUUUCGCUCGUCCCUAG
rnacentral:lncRNA from 1 species